rnacentral:rRNA from 1 species
CCUACGGGUGGCAGCAGUGAGGAAUAUUGGUCAAUGGGCGGGAGCCUGAACCAGCCAAGCCGCGUGAGGGAAGACGGUACAGCGUAUCGUAAACCUCUUUUGUCAGGGAAUAAAGGCGGGGACUAGUCCCUGUAUGAGGGUACCUUAAGAAAAGGCAUCGGCUAACUCCGUGCCAGCAGCCGCGGUAAUACGGAGGAUGCGAGCGUUAUCCGGUUUUAUUGGGUUUAAAGGGUGCGCGGGGGGCCUGUUAAGUCAGCGGUAAAAGCCCGGGGCUCAACCCCGGAGAGCCGUUGAUACUGGCAGGCUGGAGUUGGAGAGAGGUACGCGGAAUGCGCGGUGUAGCGGUGAAAUGCUUAGAUAUCGCGAAGAACCCCGAUUGCGAAGGCAGCGUACCGACUCCACACUGACGCUGAGGCACGAAAGCGUGGGUAUCGAACAGGAUUAGAUACCCGAGUAGUC